rnacentral:rRNA from 1 species
AAUGAACGUUGGCGGCGUGGAUUAGGCAUGCGAGUCGUGCGAGAACCGUAGCAAUACGGGGACAGCGGCGAAAGGGAGAGUAAUGCGUGGAUACCUACCCUCGGGUCCAGGAUAGCUGUGGGAAACUACAGGUAAUACUGGAUGACAUCUCCGGAUCAAAGGUGUGAUUCCGCCCGGGGAGGGUCCGCGUCCUAUUAGCUAGUUGGUGGGGUAACGGCUCACCAAGGCGAAGAUGGGUAUGGGAUGUGAGAGCAUGAUCCCACUCAUUGGGACUGAGACACUGCCCAGACACCUACGGGAGGCAG